rnacentral:snoRNA from 1 species
CCUGUGUGAUGACAUGUGAUUGCCCUGACUCCAGUUGUGGAGGUCUGCCAUUAGCUCUAUCUGAC